rnacentral:rRNA from 1 species
GUUCCCGACCCAUGCGUUGAUUCACAGA